UAGAUUUUAUUUAUUUAUUUGACAGAGGAAGACAGUGAGAGUAGGAAUACAAAUGGGGAGUGGGAGAGGGAAAAGCA